rnacentral:tRNA from 1 species
GGUAGAAUGGCCGAACAACAAGGUGGGGGGCUGUAAACCAGCUUAUGGAGGUUUAAAUCCUCUUUUUACCA